AGCAGUCGCCACGGGAAUACAGAGGAUGCAAGCGUUAUCUGGAAUAAUUGGGUGUAAAGCGUCUGUAGGUGGCUUUUCAAGUCCACCGUCAAAUCCCAGGGCUCAACCCUGGACAGGCGGUGGAAACUACCAAGCUAGAGUACGGUAGGGGCAGAGGGAAUUUCCGGUGGAGCGGUGAAAUGCGUUGAGAUCGAAAAGAACACCAACGACGAAAGCACUCUGCUGGGUCGACACUGACACUGAGAGACGAGAGCUAGGGGAGCAAAUGGGAUUAGAGACCCCAGUAGUCCCUGUCUCUUAUAC
rnacentral:rRNA from 1 species